GAUGAACGCUAGCGGCAGGCUUAACACAUGCAAGUCGAGGGGCAGCACGGGUAGCAAUACCUGGUGGCGACCGGCGGAAGGGUGCGUAACGCGUGAGCAACAUGCCCUAUACAGGGGAAUAAACCAGGGAAACUUGGUCUAAUGCCCCAUAGCAAUAAGAUAAGGCAUCUUAUUUUAUUUAAAGCUUCGGUGGUAUAGGAUUGGCUCGCGUGACAUUAGCUGGAUGGUGGGGUAACGGCCCACCAUGGCGAUGAUGUCUAGGGGUUCUGAGAGGAAGACCCCCCACACUGGGACUGAGACACGGCCCAGACUCCUACGGGAGGCAGCAGUGAGGAAUAUUGGACGAUGGAUGGAAAUCUGAUCCAGCCAUGCCGCGUGCAGGAAGACGGCCCUAUGGGUUGUAAACUGCUUUUCUACGGGAGCAAUAAGGUCUACGCGUAGACUGAUGAGAGUACCGUAGGAAUAAGCAUCGGCUAACUCCGUGCCAG
rnacentral:rRNA from 1 species